rnacentral:ncRNA from 2 species
CAACGUGCUCCGGGGUCGGUGAAAGUCCGAACCGGCGGUAACAGUCCGCGACCCGCUCGUGCCACGGCAGCGUCAGGCAGCCGGGGGACCAGCGGUUGAGCCGGUGGGACUCCGGCACCGACGGUGAGAGUCCGGAUGGGAGGAUGCGCGU